rnacentral:rRNA from 1 species
AGAGUUUGAUUAUGGCUCAGGAUGAACGCUAGCUACAGGCUUAACACAUGCAAGUCGAGGGGCAGCAUUGGGGUAGCAAUACUUCAGAUGGCGACCGGCGCACGGGUGAGUAACACGUAUCCAACCUGCCGCUUACUCGGGGAUAGCCUUUCGAAAGAAAGAUUAAUACCCGAUGGUAUAAAGAGUUCGCAUGUUCUCUUUAUUAAAGAAUUUCGGUAAGCGAUGGGGAUGCGUUCCAUUAGAUAGUUGGCGGGGUAACGGCCCACCAAGUCUACGAUGGAUAGGGGUUCUGAGAGGAAGGUCCCCCACAUUGGAACUGAGACACGGUCCAAACUCCUACGGGAGGCAGCAGUGAGGAAUAUUGGUCAAUGGACGAGAGUCUGAACCAGCCAAGUAGCGUGAAGGAUGACUGCCCUAUGGGUUGUAAACUUCUUUUAUAAGGGAAUAAAGUGAGGGACGUGUCCCUUUUUGUAUGUACCUUAUGAAUAAGGAUCGGCUAACUCCGUGCCAGCAGCUGC